UACGUAGGCAGCAAGCGUUGUUCGGAGUUACUGGGCGUAAAGGGUGCGUAGGCGGCUUUUUAAGUUUGGUGUGAAAUCUCCCGGCUCAACUGGGAGGGUGCGCCGAAUACUGAGAGGCUAGAGUGCGGGAGAGGUGAGUGGAACUGCGAGUGUAGAGGUGAAAUUCGUAGAUAUUCGCAAGAACACCAGUGGCGAAGGCGGCUCACUGGCCCGGUACUGACGCUGAGGUGCGAAAGCGUGGGGAGCAAACAGG
rnacentral:rRNA from 1 species